AACGAACGCUGGCGGCAUGCCUAACACAUGCAAGUCGAACGAACCCUUCGGGGUUAGUGGCGCACGGGUGCGUAACGCGUGGGAAUCUGCCCUUGCUUCGGAAUAACUCAGGGAAACUUGUGCUAAUACCGGAUGAUGUCUUCGGACCAAAGAUUUAUCGGCAAGGGAUGAGCCCGCGUAGGAUUAGGUAGUUGGUGGGGUAAAGGCCUACCAAGCCGACGAUCCUUAGCUGGUCUGAGAGGAUGAUCAGCCACACUGGGACUGAGACACGGCCCAGACUCCUACGGGAGGCAGCAGUGGGGAAUAUUGGACAAUGGGCGCAAGCCUGAUCCAGCAAUGCCGCGUGAGUGAUGAAGGCCCUCGGGUCGUAAAGCUCUUUUACCAGGGAUGAUAAUGACAGUACCUGGAGAAUAAGCUCCGGCUAACUCCGUG
rnacentral:rRNA from 1 species